rnacentral:rRNA from 1 species
UACGUAGGGUGCAAGCGUUGUCCGGAAUUAUUGGGCGUAAAGAGCUCGUAGGCGGUCUGUCGCGUCGGCUGUGAAAUCCCGAGCUCAACUCCGGGUCUGCAUUCGAUACGGGCAGGCUAGAGUUCGGUAGGGGAGACUGGAAUUCCUGGUGUAGCGGUGAAAUGCGCAGAUAUCAGGAGGAACACCGGUGGCGAAGGCGGUUCUCUGGGCAUUACCUGACGCUGAGGAGCGAAAAGUGUGGGGAGCGAACAGG